AGAGUUUGAUCAUGGCUCAGGAUGAACGCUGGCGGCGUGCCUAACACAUGCAAGUCGAGCGAGCCCUUCGGGGUGAGCGGCGGACGGGUGAGUAACGCGUGGGUAACCUGCCCUGUACACACGGAUAACAUACCGAAAGGUAUGCUAAUACGAGAUAAUAUAUUUUAAUCGCAUGGUUAAGAUAUCAAAGCUCCGGCGGUACAGGAUGGACCCGCGUCUGAUUAGCUAGUUGGUGAGGUAAUAGCUCACCAAGGCGACGAUCAGUAGCCGACCUGAGAGGGUGAUCGGCCACACUGGAACUGAGACACGGUCCAGACUCCUACGGGAGGCAGCAGUGGGGAAUAUUGCACAAUGGGCGAAAGCCUGAUGCAGCAACGCCGCGUGAGCGAUGAAGGCCUUCGGGUCGUAAAGCUCUGUCCUCAAGGAAGAUAAUGACGGUACUUGAGGAGGAAGCCCCGGCUAACUACGUGCCAGCAGCCGCGGUAAUACGUAGGGGGCUAGCGUUAUCCGGAAUUACUGGGCGUAAAGGGUGCGUAGGCGGUCUUUCAAGCCAGAAGUGAAAGGCUACGGCUCAACCGUAGUAAGCUUUUGGAACUGUAAGACUUGAGUGCAGGAGAGGAGAGUGGAAUUCCUAGUGUAGCGGUGAAAUGCGUAGAUAUUAGGAGGAACACCAGUAGCGAAGGCGGCUCUCUGGACUGUAACUGACGCUGAGGCACGAAAGCGUGGGGAGCAAACAGGAUUAGAUACCCUGGUAGUCCACGCCGUAAACGAUGAGUACUAGGUGUCGGGGGUUACCCCCCUCGGUGCCGCAGCUAACGCAUUAAGUACUCCGCCUGGGAAGUACGCUCGCAAGAGUGAAACUCAAAUGAAUUGACGG
rnacentral:rRNA from 1 species